rnacentral:sRNA from 1 species
GCCAGGUGCGGUGGCACACACCUGUAAUCCCAGCUGCUCGGGAGGUUGAGGCAGGAGGAUCACGAGUUCAAAGCCAGCCUCAGCAAAAGAGAGGCAUUAAGCAACUCAGUGAGACCCUGUCUCUA